rnacentral:rRNA from 1 species
UGGGGAAUAUUGCACAAUGGGCGAAAGCCUGAUGCAGCGACGCCGCGUGAGGGAUGACGGCCUUCGGGUUGUAAACCUCUUUCAGCAGGGACGAAGCGCAAGUGACGGUACCUGCAGAAGAAGCACCGGCUAACUACGUGCCAGCAGCCGCGGUAAUACGUAGGGUGCAAGCGUUGUCCGGAAUUACUGGGCGUAAAGAGUUCGUAGGCGGUUUGUCGCGUCGUUUGUGAAAAACAGCAGCUCAACUGCUGGCUUGCAGUCGAUAAGGGCAGACUUGAGUACUGCAGGGGAGACUGGAAUUCCUGGUGUAGCGGUGAAAUGCGCAGAUAUCAGGAGGAACACCGGUGGCGAAGGCGGGUCUCUGGGCAGUAACUGACGCUGAGGAACGAAAGCGUGGGUAGCGAACAGG